GCCAGGCGUGGUGGCAUGCACCUGUAAUCCCAGCCACUUGGGAGGCUGAGGCAGGAGGAUCCUGAGUUCAAACCUAGCCUCAGCAACUCAGUGAGACCCUAUCUCUA
rnacentral:sRNA from 1 species